GAUGAACGCUGGCGGCGUGCCUAAUACAUGCAAGUCGAGCGAACGGACGAGAAGCUUGCUUCUCUGAUGUUAGCGGCGGACGGGCGAGUAACACGUGGAUAACCUACCUAUAAGACUGGGAUAACUUCGGGAAACCGUAGCUAAUACCGGAUAAUAUUUUGAACCGCAUGGUUCAAAAGUGAAAGACGGUCUUGCUGUCACUUAUAGAUGGAUCCGCGCUGCAUUAGCUGGUUGGUAAGGUAACGGCUUACCAAGGCAACGAUGCAUAGCCGACGUGAGAGGGUGAUAGGCCACACUGGAACUGAGACACGGACCAGACUCCUACGGGAGGCAGCAGUCGGGAAUCUUCGGCAAUGGGCGAAAGCCUGACGGAGCAACGCCGCGUGAGUGAUGAAGGUCUUCGGAUCGUAAAACUCUGUUAUUAGGGAAGAACAUAUGUGUAAGUAACUGAGCACAUCUUGACGGUACCUAAUCAGAAAGCCACGGCUAACUACGUG
rnacentral:rRNA from 1 species